rnacentral:rRNA from 1 species
AGGUCUUGACAUCCCGAUGCUAUUUCUAGAGAUAGAAGUUACUUCGGUACAUCGGUGACAGGUGGUGCAUGGUUGUCGUCAGCUCGUGUCGUGAGAUGUUGGGUUAAGUCCCGCAACGAGCGCAACCCCUAUUGUUAGUUGCCAUCAUUCAGUUGGGCACUCUGGCGAGACUGCCGGUAAUAAACCGGAGGAAGGUGGGGAUGACGUCAAAUCAUCAUGCCCCUUAUGACCUGGGCUACACACGUGCUACAAUGGUUGGUACAACGAGUUGCGAGUCGGUGACGGCGAGCUAAUCUCUUAAAGCCAACCUCAGUUCGGAUUGUAGGCUGCAACUCGCCUACAUGAAGUCGGAAUCGCUAGUAAUCGCGGAUCAGCACGCCGCGGUGAAUACGUUCCCGGGCCUU